UAUGGCAUCAUAGAAUGAUCAAAUAUUUAUAGGAUUAAGAUGGGCAUGCGGAACAUUAGCUAGUUGGUAAGGUAACGGCUUACCAAGGCUACGAUGUUUAGGGGAUCUGAGAGGAUGACCCCCCACACUGGUACUGAGACACGGACCAGACUCCUACGGGAGGCAGCAGUAAGGAAUAUUGGUCAAUGGGCGCAAGCCUGAACCAGCCAUGCCGCGUGCAGGAAGACGGCCCUACGGGUUGUAAACUGCUUUUGUACCGGAAUAAACCUUUGUAUGUAUACGAAGCUGAAUGUACGGUAAGAAUAAGGAUCGGCUAACUCCGUGCCAGCAGCCGCGGUAAUACGGAGGAUCCAAGCGUUAUCCGGAUUUAUUGGGUUUAAAGGGUGCGUAGGUGGCCUAUUAAGUCAGGGGUGAAAGACGGUAGCUCAACUAUCGCAGUGCCUUUGAUACUGAUGGGCUUGAAUACACUAGAGGUAGGCGGAAUGUGACAAGUAGCGGUGAAAUGCAUAGAUAUGUCACAGAACACCAAUUGCGAAGGCAGCUUACUAUGGUGUCAUUGACACUGAGGCACGAAAGCGUGNGGAUCAAACAGGAUUAGAUACCCUGGUAGUCCACGCCCUAAACGAU
rnacentral:rRNA from 1 species